rnacentral:rRNA from 1 species
GACGAACGCUGGCGGCGUGCCUAAUACAUGCAAGUUGAGCGCUGAAGGUUGGUACUUGUACCAACUGGAUGAGCAGCGAACGGGUGAGUAACGCGUGGGGAAUCUGCCUUUGAGCGGGGGACAACAUUUGGAAACGAAUGCUAAUACCGCAUAAAAACUUUAAACACAAGUUUUAAGUUUGAAAGAUGCAAUUGCAUCACUCAAAGAUGAUCCCGCGUUGUAUUAGCUAGUUGGUGAGGUAAAGGCUCACCAAGGCGAUGAUACAUAGCCGACCUGAGAGGGUGAUCGGCCACACUGGGACUGAGACACGGCACAAACGCCUUCGGGAGGCAGCAGUAGGGAAUCUUGGGCAAGGGACGAAAGUCUGAGCGAGCAACGCCGAGUGAGUGAAGAAGGUUUUCGGAUCGUAAAACACUGUUGGUAGGGAAGAACGUUGGUGAGAGUGGAAAGCUCAUCAAGUGACGGUAACUACCCAGAAAGGGACGGCUAACUACGUG